rnacentral:rRNA from 1 species
GACGAACGCUGGCGGCGUGCUUAACACAUGCAAGUCGAACGGAAAGGCCCUGCUUUUGUGGGGUGCUCGAGUGGCGAACGGGUGAGUAACACGUGAGUAACCUGCCCUUGACUUUGGGAUAACUUCAGGAAACUGGGGCUAAUACCGGAUAGGAGCUCCUGCUGCUUGGUGGGGGUUGGAAAGUUUCGGUGGCUGGGGAUGGACUCGCGGCUUAUCAGCUUGUUGGUGGGGUAGUGGCUUACCAAGGCUUUGACGGGUAGCCGGCCUGAGAGGGUGACCGGCCACAUUGGGACUGAGAUACGGCCCAGACUCCUACGGGAGGCAGCAGUGGGGAAUGUUGCACAAUGGGCGGGAGCCUGAUGCAGCAACGCCGCGUGCGGGAUGACGGCCUUCGGGUUGUAAACCGCUUUCGCCUGUGACGAAGCGUGAGUGACGGUAAUGGGUAAAGAAGCACCGGCUAACUACGUG